rnacentral:rRNA from 1 species
UGCAGUCGACGGCAGCGCGGGGCAACCUGGCGGCGAGUGGCGAACGGGUGAGUAAUAUAUCGGAACGUACCCAGAAGUGGGGGAUAACGUAGCGAAAGUUACGCUAAUACCGCAUACGAUCUACGGAUGAAAGUGGGGGACCUUCGGGCCUCAUGCUUUUGGAGCGGCCGAUAUCUGAUUAGCUAGUUGGUGGGGUAAAGGCUCACCAAGGCAACGAUCAGUAGCUGGUCUGAGAGGACGACCAGCCACACUGGAACUGAGACACGGUCCAGACUCCUACGGGAGGCAGCAGUGGGGAAUUUUGGACAAUGGGCGCAAGCCUGAUCCAGCAAUGCCGCGUGAGUGAAGAAGGCCUUCGGGUUGUAAAGCUCUUUUGUCAGGGAAGAAACGGNUCAGGCUAAUAUCCUGGGCUAAUGACGGUACCUGAAGAAUAAGCACCGGCUAACUACGUGCCAGCAGCCGCGGUAAUACGUAGGGUGCAAGCGUUAAUCGGAAUUACUGGGCGUAAAGCGUGCGCAGGCGGUUUUGUAAGUCUGAUGUGAAAGCCCCGGGCUCAACCUGGGAAUUGCAUUGGAGACUGCAAGGCUUGAAUCUGGCAGA